CCAGUACCGUGAGGGAAAGGUGAAAAGCACCCCGGAAGGGGAGUGAAAUAGAACCUGAAACCGUGUGCUUACAAGUAGUCAGAGCCCGUUAAUGGGUGAUGGCGUGCCUUUUGUAGAAUGAACCGGCGAGUUACGAUUUGAUGCAAGGUUAAGCAGUAAAUGUGGAGCCGUAGCGAAAGCGAGUCUGAAUAGGGCGUUUAGUAUUUGGUCGUAGACCCGAAACCAGGUGAUCUACCCUUGGUCAGGUUGAAGUUCAGGUAACACUGAAUGGAGGACCGAACCGACUUACGUUGAAAAGUGAGCGGAUGAACUGAGGGUAGCGGAGAAAUUCCAAUCGAACCUGGAGAUAGCUGGUUCUCUCCGAAAUAGCUUUAGGGCUAGCCUCAAGUGAUGAUUAUUGGAGGUAGAGCACUGUUUGGACGAGGGGCCCCUCUCGGGUUACCGAAUUCAGACAAACUCCGAAUGCCAAUUAAUUUAACUUGGGAGUCAGAACAUGGGUGAUAAGGUCCGUGUUCGAAAGGGAAACAGCCCAGACCACCAGCUAAGGUCCCAAAAUAUAUGUUAAGUGG
rnacentral:rRNA from 1 species